rnacentral:rRNA from 1 species
GACGAACGCUGGCGGCGUGCUUAACACAUGCAAGUCGAACGGAAAGGCCCUGCUUUUGUGGGGUGCUCGAGUGGCGAACGGGUGAGUAACACGUGAGUAACCUGCCCUUGACUUUGGGAUAACUUCAGGAAACUGGGGCUAAUACCGGAUAGGAGCUCCUGCUGCAUGGUGGGGGUUGGAAAGUUUCGGCGGUUGGGGAUGGACUCGCGGCUUAUCAGCUUGUUGGUGGGGUAGUGGCUUACCAAGGCUUUGACGGGUAGCCGGCCUGAGAGGGUGACCGGCCACAUUGGGACUGAGAUACGGCCCAGACUCCUACGGGGGGCAGCAGUGGGGAAUAUUGCCCAAUGGGCGGAAGCCUGAUGCAGCAACGCCGCGUGCGGGAUGACGGCCUUCGGGUUGUAAACCGCUUUCGCCUGUGACGAAGAGUGAGUGACGGUAAUGGGUAAAGAAGCACCGGCUAACUACGUG